CUCUUCUUGAAUUAUUUUUGAAGUAUAACCUGCCCACUGAUAACAUUAUUUAAAGGGCCGCGGUAUUUUGACCGUGCAAAGGUAGCAUAAUCAUUAGUCUUUUAAUUGAAGACUGGAAUGAAUGGUUGGACGAGAAAUAAACUGUUUCUUUAAUAUUUAUUGAACUUAAAUUUUAAGUUAAAAUGCUUAACUUUUUUUAUGGGACGAGAAGACCCUAUAGAGUUUUAUAAAUUUUAUUUUUGUUUUUGUUUGUAGAUUUUUUGUUAUUUAAAUUUUUAUUUUGUUGGGGUGAUUGGAAGAAUUAAUAAACUCUUUUUUUUAUUUAUAUAUUUAUUUAUAAUUUUUUGAUCCAAUUUUGUUGAUUAUAAGACUAAAUUACCUUAGGGAUAACAGCGUAAUCUUUUUUGAGAGUUCUUAUCGAUAAAUGGGUUUGCGA
rnacentral:rRNA from 1 species